rnacentral:rRNA from 1 species
AGCGAACGCUGGCGGCAGGCCUAACACAUGCAAGUCGAACGCGUGUAGCAAUACACGAGUGGCAGACGGGUGAGUAANACGUGGGAACGUGCCCUUCGGUUCGGAAUAACUCAGGGAAACUUGAGCUAAUACCGGAUACGCCCUCACGGGGAAAGAUUUAUCGCCGAAGGAUCGGCCCGCGUCUGAUUAGCUAGUUGGUGAGGUAACGGCUCACCAAGGCGACGAUCAGUAGCNGGUCUGAGAGGAUGAUCAGCCACACUGGGACUGAGACACGGCCCAGACUCCUACGGGAGGCAGCAGUGGGGAAUAUUGGGCAAUGGGGGAAACCCUGAUCCAGCCAUGCCGCGUGAGUGAUGAAGG